UACGGAGGGUGCAAGCGUUAUCCGGAUUCAUUGGGCGUAAAGGGUGCGUAGGUGGCGCCGUAAGUGGGGUGUGAAAUCCCGGGGCUUAACCCCGGGACUGCAUUCCAUACUGCGGUGCUUGAGGACUGGAGAGGAGACUGGAAUUUACGGUGUAGCAGUGAAAUGCGUAGAGAUCGUAAGGAAGACCAGUGGCGAAGGCGGGUCUCUGGACAGUUCCUGACACUGAGGCACGGAAGGCCAGGGGAGCAAACGGG
rnacentral:rRNA from 1 species